CUCAAUCUGUUUUCCAGAUUUCCACUGAGUGUUGCAAUGCCUUUAAUCAAACUCCUCGACUCAAAAAUUUUUCUAAUUGCCCAGGCAGCAGCCCCAGGCACUAGCAUGUCUUCAAAAUAGUGGUUCUUGAUAUAGAAGGUAUGAACUCACUUUAUCCAUAGGCUAUCCUUCUUCUUAGUCAAUGCCCACAGAUGCUUGACCACAGUAGCUUUGUCUUAUGUAGCUAGGUCUAAGACAUUCAGUCCCCCUGCAGUGUAAGGAAAACACAGAGUAUCCCAGGCAAUCAGAGCCUUUCUUGAGACUGUGGCAGAACCUGUCCAGAGAUAUGAUCAGCAGAUAGCCUCUGUCAUCUUCAAAAAAAAUUUAGGCAAUAGAAAAAUCUGGGACAAGUAGGCUUGAAUACCAUAUAGAACAGAUUUAAUAAAUUGAAGCCGACCAGCAUAAGAUAGUAACCUUGACGAUCAGCAGUUUAUUUUCUGUGUAAUUUUCUCCACCAGUGGCCAGCACUGAGCAAUGGACAACUUCUUUGAAUCAAAAGGCAUACCCAAAUACUUGAAUGGGAGUCUGCCUUCAGGAUAUCCCAACACCUAUAGAAUCUCCUAUUUCUGCCACUUGGUUACUCCAUAGGCAUCCCCAAAUACUUGAAAGGGAGUUUGCCUUCAGGAUAUCCCAGCACAUGUAGAAUCUCAUAUUUCUGCCAGUUGGUUACACCUGCUAAGUACAC
rnacentral:lncRNA from 1 species